GUAGGCGGUUUGUCGCGUCUGCUGUGAAACUGGGGGCUCAACCCCCAGCUGCAGUGGGUACGGGCAGACUAGAGUGCGGUAGGGGAGAUUGGAAUUCCUGGUGUAGCGGUGGAAUGCGCAGAUAUCAGGAGGAACACCGAUGGCGAAGGCAGAUCUCUGGGCCGAACUGACGCUGAGGAGCGAAAGGGUGGGGAGCAAACAGGCUUAGAUACCCUGGUAGUCCACCCCGUAAACGUUGGGAACUAGUUGUGGGGCCGUGACGCAGCUAACGCAUUAAGUUCCCCGCCUGGGGAGUACGGCCGCAAGGCUAAAACUCAAAGGAAUUGACGGGGACCCGCACAAGCGGCGGAGCAUGCGGAUUAAUUCGAUGCAACGCGAAGAACCUUACCAAGGCUUGACAUACAGGUGGUGCAUGGUUGUCGUCAGCUCGUGUCGUGAGAUGUUGGGUUAAGUCCCGCAACGAGCGCAACCCUCGUUCUAUGUUGCAACUCAUGGGAUACUGCCGGGGUCAACUCGGAGGAAGGUGGGGAUGACGUCAAAUCAUCAUGCCCUUAUGUCCUGGGCUUCACGCAUGCUACAAUGGCCGGUACAAAGGGCUGCAAUACCGUAAGGUGGAGCGAAUCCCAAAAAGCCGGUCCCAGUUCGGAUUGAGGUCUGCAACUCGACCUCAUGAAGUCGGAGUCGCUAGUAAUCGCAGAUCAGCACGCUGCGGUGAAUACGUUCCCGGGUCUUGCACACACCGCCCGUC
rnacentral:rRNA from 1 species